ensembl:lncRNA
GAGGGGUUUCCUUCAGGAUGCUGAACCAAUCCACUUAUUUAGACAGCUUACAAAUUCAACAUAAAAUGAAACAAGUGGAAGUAACAAUUCUGUAUAUAGAUGAGUAUUAAAUUUACUAAAUACCUCGUUAGUAACGUAUCACUUAAUGAAUACUGGAUAACAGGAUUGUACCACCUCUUUACCUCUUUAGAUUUUGCAAUUGCAAAAUCCAAUUUUACAAAUAAGUCAUGUUCUAUGUGCUGUGUUAUCUUUAUUCAUAUGCUGUAAAUCAAGAAACACAUUCAACUUUGUUAUUUGUAAGAUAUAAUAUCCAAAUGAUAUAACCAUAAAAUAAUUUUAAUAGCUUUUAAUUUUAUUUUAGGAAAAUUUUGGAGAGCAUGUUGCUCUAGCAUGAAACAUUUAUGGCCAUAACAUCUUUAAAUUAUUCUCACAAUCGGGAAAUAAUGGGAUCUGCUUGGAAGAGGUCAGCAGAACUCUUCACUGUGCUUGUCAUCCAUUGGUUUCAGUUAACCGUAGGCUGCAAGACUGGAUAUGCAAAACUACACAAAGGUAACUCAGAAAUAAGGAAGCAGUUCUCAAGCUCAUGUGACUUCUUUUGUCAAGGAAUCAGUCUGAAAUCAUAAAUAAAGUUUGCAAAGCGUGAGUAAGGCUAUAUCUAAUUUAGCAAGUUUGUAAUUCCUUCUCCCUCCCUCUGUCCCUGGCCUCACCUAUCUUCUCCAUUCUUGUCCCGCCACCUUCCCCAGAGAUCAUGACAGCUGUACCUUUUGUGUUUUUUUAAUUGGGGCACAGCCAUUCAUGCAAAGCACUCAAGUGCUUCCCACUCCACCCUGACUUCUUUACAGGAAGAAAGAUAAUUUUAUAUUUAAUAUUCAUCUGGUCCUUUUUGUAAUACUCUGCCUAUUCUGUGUUGCAGAUAAAGAAACAGGAAAAUUGAGAUCUUAUACCCCCAUGCAUUGGACUAGGAGCACUGAAGAUGACACAUUCAUGGAUGAAUGUUAUUUUUCAGCUGCUACUCAAGUAGUUGGUCAGCAAGACAUUGUGAAAGGAGCCCUAGUCUCAGAAUCAGAAGAUGUCAUUUCUGGUCCCCAGUCUGCCAUUAGGUCAUUAUGACUUCAUAAAAGGUCACUGAAAUCUCCGAGUUUAGUUUCUUCCUAAAUAAGAUGUGGAGAUCCAAUAGGAUGUUCAUUGAGGGACAUUCCAGUAUAAACUUUUAUCACUCUGUGUCACGUUUUUCUGAACUACUCCUAUCUUCCUCAAUGUAGAAUUCAUUUGUUAAGUAAACACAGUUGUGUAAAAUGAAUGAACACUUCUCAACUUCCCCUGUUCUCCUGCUAAAAAAGCUUUAACCAGAAGUCUCAAUUCAGGCAUUCUUUGAGAACCAUUGAGCAAAAUGAGUUUUGGGACCUUUUAUUGAGCCUAAGAUUCUAAGAGUUUAAUGUUACAAAAUUUAAAAAUUUACUGAGAGAAAGAAGCAUCCUUGUCAGGUUUCACGCAGGCUCAUGUCCAAUUUCAUUGCCUUCCAAUGGGCAAAUGGUCAACUCAACACAUGUACAUUGCCACUUGUGUAAAGAUGUGCAGUGAACUGCAGUUCUAGGGCAUUCUGUUUGUUUUUCCAAUCUUCUUCCCCUCUCCUCUCUUUAUUUUUCAAGAAAGAAGUAGGUUUAGAAACUUUCAUAAAUGUGCAUUGUAAGUGCAAUAAAAUGCUUAACAGGUUAAAGUUUUAUCUCUUUUUUUUGAAGGAAGAUUAUGAAUAAAAAUGCUGUGUGCUUAUUGAACGGUGAGUACUACUGCUCUUAACAGAAUAAAACUCUUGAAUCAAGAUCUCUUUCCAUUCUUUUCUUUUUCUUCUUUUUUUGAGAUAAAGUCUCACUCUGUUCCCCAGGCUGGAGUGCAGUGGUGUGAUCUCAGCUCACUGGAACCUCUGGUUCGAGUGAUUCUCCCACCUUGGCCUCCCAAGUAGCUGGGAUUACAGGUUAAUUUUUGUAUUUUUAUGGAGAUGGGGUUUGACCAUAUUGGCCAGGCUGGUGUCUAACUCCUGACCUCAGAUAAUCCCCUUCCUUGGCCUCUGAAAAUGCUGGGAUUACAGGCGUCAGAUGUCACACCCAGCCCCCUUUCAAUUCCUACAUGCUGUGAUUAUCUUCUUACAGUGGUGAGUGGGUCUGGGUAACAAAAUUAAAUGCAGAACAGGAUUUCUCAUCAGUAGGGAAAGAAACAGAAUAUUUUUACUUAUAUAUUUAUAGGGUGCUUACAUGUUUUUCAGAGGAAUUAGUAUUUCUUAAAGUGUUAUUAUACUAUUUGACUGGUUAAUAAAUUGGGUAUAGUUUUGGGCACAAGGAUCUAGUAAAUAUAUUGAGAAAAGAUGACAGGAUUCUUUCUUCCUCCACCCCUCUUACAAUCUACAAAGAGAGAAAGGAAUAUGCCUUGCUUUUGAGAUUUCUUUUAAACUGUUGGUGCCCC